AGAGUUUGAUCCUGGCUCAGGAUGAACGCUAGCUACAGGCUUAACACAUGCAAGUCGAGGGGCAGCAUUUUAGUUUGCUUGCAAACUAAAGAUGGCGACCGGCGCACGGGUGAGUAACACGUAUCCAACCUGCCGAUAACUCGGGGAUAGCCUUUCGAAAGAAAGAUUAAUAUCCGAUGGCAUGGAAAGCCCGCAUGGUCUUUCCAUUAAAGAAUUUCGGUUAUCGAUGGGGAUGCGUUCCAUUAGAUAGUAGGCGGGGUAACGGCCCACCUAGUCAACGAUGGAUAGGGGUUCUGAGAGGAAGGUCCCCCACAUUGGAACUGAGACACGGUCCAAACUCCUACGGGAGGCAGCAGUGAGGAAUAUUGGUCAAUGGACGAGAGUCUGAACCAGCCAAGUAGCGUGAAGGAUGACUGCCCUAUGGGUUGUAAACUUCUUUUAUAAAGGAAUAAAGUCGGGUAUGCAUACCCGUUUGCAUGUACUUUAUGAAUAAGGAUCGGCUAACUCCGUGCCAGCAGCCGCGGUAAUACGGAGGAUCCGAGCGUUAUCCGGAUUUAUUGGGUUUAAAGGGAGCGUAGGCGGAUGCUUAAGUCAGUUGUGAAAGUUUGCGGCUCAACCGUAAAAUUGCAGUUGAUACUGGGUGUCUUGAGUACAGUAGAGGCAGGCGGAAUUCGUGGUGUAGCGGUGAAAUGCUUAGAUAUCACGAAGAACUCCGAUUGCGAAGGCAGCUCACUAGACUGCAACUGACACUGAUGCUCGAAAGUGUGGGUAUCAAACAGGAUUAGAUACCCUGGUAGUCCACACAGUAAACGAUGAAUACUCGCUGUUUGCGAUAUACAGUAAGCGGCCAAGCGAAAGCGUUAAGUAUUCCACCUGGGGAGUACGCCGGCAACGGUGAAACUCAAAGGAAUUGACGGGGGCCCGCACAAGCGGAGGAACAUGUGGUUUAAUUCGAUGAUACGCGAGGAACCUUACCCGGGCUUGAAUUGCAGAGGAAGGAUUUGGAGACAAUGACGCCCUUCGGGGCCUCUGUGAAGGUGCUGCAUGGUUGUCGUCAGCUCGUGCCGUGAGGUGUCGGCUUAA
rnacentral:rRNA from 1 species